rnacentral:rRNA from 1 species
UUACGGCCACAUCACGUUGAAACACCGGUUCCCGUACGAUAACUGAAGUUAAGCAACGUCGAACCUGGUCAUUACCUAGAUAGGUUACCGCUUGGGAAUACUAGGUGCUGUAA